UAUCUAUGUAGCGUCUCGUGGUCAUUGGUCAUCACAUUUCAUUUUCAUAACAUAACCGAUAACCUAAAAAUUUAGUAAAAAAGUAAAAAUUUUGAUUGGAAAAAAAUGCAUCGAUAAGGGGGUGUGGGAAAUGGAAAUUAGUGGCUUUUUUGCUGUACUGUCUGCUAGUUUUUGCUCUGGGCACUGGCUAGAUCUCUUGUUUAAACAAUUUUAAUCAGCUGAAAGUGGCCUACAAAAAAAACCAAGAAGGAAAUGUAUAGCCUUGUGGCUAUGAAAGGCAAAAGAGAGAUAUAAAAAGUGUAUUGGCUAGUUGGAAGAAAGUCCACAUUGUCCAUGCAUAAUAAGUUAUUACAUUAUCAACAAAUAUCAAGAAGAUAGCAGGGUCACGAGCAUCAACUUCAUGAGUUCAAGAAUAUCGAGGAAAUCCAGCUCCUCGAUACUACUGGGCAAACUAGAAGAUUGAAGAGGACAAAUCCUUUUGAACUAGUUUGAGUGAUAGGUGAUAGUGAAAAACGGAGCAUAGUGCUUGUGUGCUGUGCCUGUGUAUGUUAGAAUAGUGCACGAUCUUGUUAGAUUAGAUAAGAGACGCUAUGGGGUAAGCUCUUCAUUUUAAGAAACAGUAGUAAUUUAGGCUAAAUUAAAAUUGCUCAUUGGUCAGUUAUGACCAGAUUGUUUUUUUAUGUUUGGCAAAAAGGACUUAAGUCAGAAUUGCACAUUGAUAAUGUUUUGAUGAUUUCUGGACCAGAAAAAAACUGUUGUAGAUGUAAACUGUAUGUACAGUAGAAUCUACUACAGUACUGUAGAAAUCAUCAAAACAUUAUCGAUGUGCAAUUCUGACUUAAGCCCUUUUUCCCAAACAUCAGAGAAUUGUAAUGUACAAUAAUUCUCCUAUCUGCUUUUUCAUGAAUUUUGUAGGAGACGAAAAACCAUUUUUAGGAUCAUCUGCUUUCACAUGUUUUGUAGUAAAUAGAUAGUUGAAUUUACUACAAAACAUGUCAAAAAAUAUAUGAAAACAGGAGGUGACUAUAAAAAAAGUUUUUAGUCUCUCUUACAAAACUCAUGAAAAAACAAAUCGGAGGUAUGUCACAUCAGUGACUAAGAAUGUCUAAAAAAUAUACUUUGAUGUCCCAAGAACCAAAUAUAACCUACAGUCCAUCUAAUUUACUUACUGUUGCACGUCAUUAUCUACGCCAGAGAUCUAAGUUGACAUAGUUGCCAAAGUAUAAAAAGAUCCUGAAUCCAUUUUAAAUCAAAUAUGUCACAUAAUUAUUGUAAACGUGGAUUAUACAACAAAACAAAUUAAUAUUCAAUGUAAAUAAGUAAAAACUUAAGAAAUAGAGAACAAGAAUUAAGUUAUAAUCUUUUAAGAUUUGCAGUGCAAGAGUUUUUGCACUGCAUUGUUAAUAAUUAAAAAACGGCUCCGAACUCUUGGCAAAAAGCCGGUAGGUUUCUUUGUAUAAGUAUGUCUACAAUAACAACUAAAAAAGUUGUCAGAUACCUCGAUUAUUCCAAGUCGUUAUAAAAUUAGGUGAAAUUUAUAUUUUUAUAGUAGAGGAUCUUUUUAUAUUAAAGUAAAUAAUAAAAACAGUAAAUAUAAUAAAUAAAACAGAUACUUAUAGUAAAGAAUAUAAACAAAUAUGAAGUGUCAUCACCGUAACUGUCAAAUAAAUGUUACCAAUUUAUUCUAAAAUGUCACCUUCGUUCGAUUACAGUUACAGUGUGAUCCGAACAAAUCUGCUUCAUAAAAACGCUUUAUAAUCCAUUUAUACAAAUUAAAUGAAACAUAUUAUUGUGUAUUUCUUUAGGUUAACAUUAAUAGAAAUCUUCAAAUAUUAUUUCUACGCGUAUAUAAUAAAAUAUGUCUAGUGGCUGUAAUUCCAGUGUACUCGGCAAAGUGAUUCUAAAAAAGAACACACCUACCGCCUAAAUAUUUCGUGUUGGUAUCAUGCAACCUCACAGGCUACGACGCGGAUGACGCGCAACAGUUAGUAAAUUAGACGAAGUAUGUAGAUAUAUACAGGGUGUAACAAAAAUACAGGUCAUAAAUUUAAUCACAUAUUCUGGGACCAAAAAUAGUUUGAUUGGACCUAACUUACCUUAGUACAAAUGUGCACACAAGAAAAGUUACAGCCCUUUGAAGUUAUAUAUAUAUAUAUAUAUAAUAGCACCAAGGGUCUUAGAGGCCCAUGGCUUGAAAAGUUUGUUUUUUUUCUUCAUUUUCACGUUUCUUUAUGUACUGAGAUCUUGUCUGGCUUGUUAUGUGAUUUUUCUCCAUUCCUUCCUGUUAUUCAUUUUUCUUUUCUGACCCUGUAGCACCAUUCUUUCCAAAUCUUUUUCGACCUCUUGCUUCCAUCUAUUUUUCGGCCUUCCUCUUCUCUUUCUUGAAGCUGUAGUGUAGUUUAGUACCAUUUUUGGAGUCCUCGUGUUUGGCAUCCUUUCAAUGUGACCUCGCCAUCUAAGUCUCUGUGCCUUUAUCAUUCAUUUGAAGUUACAAGAUGAAGUGAUUUUUUCCAAUAUAUCGAAAACUAUUAGAGAUUUUUUAUUGAAAAUGGACAUGUGGCAUUAUUAUGGCAGCA